ensembl:snRNA U6 U6 spliceosomal RNA
GUGCUCACUUCGGCAGCACAUAUACUAAAAUUGGAACGGUACAGAGAAGGUCAGCACAGCCCCUGCACGAGGAUGACAUGCAAAUUUGUGACGCAUUCCAUAUUUUU